rnacentral:rRNA from 1 species
AGCGAACGCUGGCGGCAGGCCUAACACAUGCAAGUCGAACGAACCUUUCGGGGUUAGUGGCGGACGGGUGAGUAACACGUGGGAACGUGCCUUUAGGUUCGGAAUAACUCAGGGAAACUUGUGCUAAUACCGAAUGUGCCCUUCGGGGGAAAGAUUUAUCGCCUUUAGAGCGGCCCGCGUCUGAUUAGCUAGUUGGUUGAGGUAAUGGCUCACCAAGGCGACGAUCAGUAGCUGGUCUGAGAGGAUGAUCAGCCACAUUGGGACUGAGACACGGCCCAAACUCCUACGGGAGGCAGCAGUGGGGAAUCGUGCGCAAUGGGCGAAAGCCUGACGCAGCCAUGCCGCGUGAAUGAUGAAGGUCUUAGGAUUGUAAAAUUCUUUCACCGGGGACGAUAAUGACGGUACCCGGAGAAGAAGCCCCGGCUAACUUCGUG